UUUUGCUGCCCCAAAAGUCUUCACACUUUUCUCAAUUUCUUGGCUGCAUCAGAUCAGAAGUCCAGCCUCUCUCUCUCUACUCCUUUUCCUCUUUCUUUGUUCUUCUUUCUCUCUUCUUCUGUUGCUUCCACACGGCAGCCCUCCCUUUCUCACCAACACAAUAUAUUCCUCUCUAAAGAAGAAAUUAAACAAUUAACCCUAAGGUUUCAGCUUCAAAUUGUUGUGGGUGUUACCAGUAUCCAAGUCUAAAUUCCUUCGACUUUAGGCUCUCGGUUCCUCUGUUUUCAGUUAGCAGGUUUUAUUUUGGAGCAGAGGGAGCCUUAGUCGAGUUUUGGAAGGAGCUGGUUUAGUUUUAUAUGUAUAGAUCCUAAAUUAGCAAUUUUAUGUUUAGCUUUGUAGUAUCUUGUAUUUUAGGAUCUAAAGAAAGUUGUGUAUCUUAAAAUAUUAGGAGAUGUAUUAUGUGAAAGUGUGGAAAUUAAAUGAUUAGUGGUUUAUGUUA